rnacentral:lncRNA from 1 species
AGAUGUUUACAGCAAUGCUGAGUGUUUUCAUUUCAUUCAGUCAUAUCCCUGUUGUCCAUUUCACAGGAAACUGGGUUGCAGACAACUGAUCUAACUUGUCCAAUAUCACAUAGCUAGCAAUUGGUGAGGCAGGAUGCUUGCAAAAUCAUACUCCUCACCAUUAUGCCAUCUUACCUCUUAAAAGUAAGCUUACAAAGAAAAGGCAAAUUCUCUGCCAUUUAUGCAGACAUCGAAGUCCCAUGUUUUAACAUUUGGAUCAGCCAAACGGAACCUACAGCAUUCUGACCAUUAGCUGGGUCAUCAGCUAGGCACGGAGGGCCUCACCUGGGUAACUUGAGAAUCUCCUCAAUCUGGC